CCUUCCUUCCUUACCCGGGGGUCGAGUGGGGGAAGAAAAAUAGUUGCACAAACUUAGCUGACACCUAAUCUGCUGGUAAUACGAUGACAGAGCAUUGAAGCUUUUUGUUCUCGAACAAGAAAAACCACGAAUCGAAUGUCCUACUGCACUUUAAAACACCAGCGCAGCAAUCGUUUUCCACCUCUCCGCCCCGAUUCACUCGGUCCGUCUCGGAAUCGGCGAAGUCGUCGUCGUCGUCGUCGUCGUGGUGAUCGUCGUCGUCGUCGUUCUAUCAGUCCGUCAAUCAGUCGGUUUGAAUUCGUUCGUUAGAAAUCACUCGUUCGCUCUGUCGUUCCAACAACAACAAUAACAACAACAACAACAACAGUCCGACGAAGACUAUUAUUAUUAUUAUUAUUUUAUGGGUUGUUUUUCUUUUUUUACGCUUUCUACCCGAUCUUCUAACUCGCCCACUCAAGAAGCCAUCACACGAAAUUACAGAAGAAGAAGAACAAGAAGGAACAAGAAGAAAAAGAAAAGACAAAAAUAACAAAAAAGAAAAAAAAAAGGAAAACACAGGAGUUUUAAACUAUUGAAAUCAUCUUCAAUUAUUAUACAUGUUCCGCAAAAGAACAGAACAAGCUGUUGCGGCCCACCAAGAGCUGUCGGGAAAACUGCUGAUACUAUCCGUUUAGCUGAUCUAUAACUACAAAUACGUUGUAUUCCAACAUUGAGUUUGGUCGGUACCGGUCCUCGCUUUUACAGCUUCUCCUCUCGAAUCAGAUGAUCGUCAAAAACAGCAAAAAGUCCUUCUAUUUUGUGGAGUAUUUCAAUAUCAAAUGAAAAAAGAAAAAAAAAUUAUUUAAUAUUUUUUUUUAAAAAAGUUUUAAAAAUUAUUCAAAAGAGAAGAAAAAAAUGUUUUAAACACUUUAAAAUUUCCAUGAACAGUGUAAAAGUGAAAGAUAUCUAAAAAAAAAAAAUACAUUUUGUCAAAUUUCCAUAGUCCACUUACUGGAAAUUUUGCAGUGAAAUUUUUGGAUUGCCGAAAUUUACCAACAUUCAGAAGAAGUUACCAAAGCUCAAUUAAAUUAGAUUUUCCGAAGAUUUUCGAAGAUUCUCUUCACCAUUCGUCAUAGGAGAAGGUUUUUAUUUUUUAUAUUUUUGUUUGCAUCAAUUCUAUUCGGUGAGAAGAGGAAACUCAAAAUGAUGGAGGAUGUUGAUCAAUGAUUUGCUGUGUAGUCAAGAAGAGGAGAAAACUUCCUAGAAGAAUGGUAUAAAGAAGAAAAGGAAGAAUUUUCAACAACUGAUAGAUUCCCAAGUACGAAUAAUUCAUGUGUAUUUAAGUCGUUUUCCGAAAAUUCUUCGUGGGUUUACUAUUGAAAGAAACCUCUGCUGUUUGAUCCUGGACGACGGACGUAUAUGUGGAAGAGACACUUAAUGAAUUAACCAAGUUUUUUUUUAUUGUUGUACAGUAAAGUAUAACGAUGAUGACUGUAAGUACUGCUGUGCUCCAUGUGUAAUACUAAGCGGUACCAUGGUCAUACAUUUGUACGAAUUUUUGUCAGGAGUUGUAGAGUCUGAGAUCAAUCUCGCCUCACUGCACCGUUAUGGAUUGAUGUAGCCCGUUGCUAUACAGAACAUUUCAAUGCUGCACGUUAGUAUGGAUUGUUAUAACCAACUGCUGCAUUAGGUAGAAACAGUCUGACCUUCACUGUAUGGGCAGUUGUUGACUUCGAUUAAUUCCUGUUCGGCCCGGUAUAGACUGUUGAAAUCGAUACAAUUUUAUCUACCCCGUUAAAAUUGGCCGCUGUAACAGAUCGAUACUGUCUCAACGAAAAUAACUAGGUGCGCAACAAAAACAUAACUUCAUAUUCGGAAAUCAGAAAUAGCUGCAUUUACAGGAAAAUCAGCCAAUCUCACAAAAGUAGUUGCAAACACGUGGUAAAAAUAGUAACGUAACACAAUACAAGACAGUUAUACGCACGACAUCAGAAUCAGUUAAAUAUCCGACAAUAAACUUCCAUACUCAACAAAAGCUGCAACCACACACUCACACGGGCACAGAAGCACAUAAGCACGCACACACGCACACACACACACACAACACACACAAAGCCACCACCAACAACAACAACAAAAGUAGUUACAUGCAGGAUAAAAAAAAACGAUCGCUUUAUGCAAGAUGAUAAAAUAGAUUCAUGGCAGUAUCGAUAGAAAUGAAAGCGUUUAGGGAUAAUAAUGAAAAGCAAAAACUACAUGUACGGGUUUAUGGUAAAUAGAAGUAGUAACAGAAACCAGAUUUGUUAAGGUCAGUCCGGUUUAUUUGUUUAAAAGAUUAAUUAUAAUUGAAAGUAUUGUACGUCAGUGAUUUUAGGUCCCAGCAAUGGGUAUAGUUCUUGAUUUUUUUAUAUACAGAAAUAUUUCAAUAAUUAAAACAGAACUGAGUUUGAAUUCCGUUAGAUGAAAAAUAAUUAUUAUUUUAAUUAUUAUCGGAGUAAUUACACAUGAAAGUCAUUAGUCCAGCAGUGGGUAUAGCUCUUGAUUACUUUAUACAGAAAUAUUUCAGCAAUAACUAUUGAACUGAGUUUAUAUUCUUUUAGAAUAGUUAUUUUUCUUAGUCUUUAAUCUAUUGUCUAUCGUUAAUGUUUAACAUGGUCUUCAUCCUUAUCGUACAUCAGUUUCAAAAAAACAUUGGAAUAAAGGCUUAGUAAAGACCUAUAAAUUCUUCCCAAAACUUGAGCCUUCCUUCAGUGUAAGUUGAACAUCUCUUAUGUAGACACCCAUAAAAUACUGCUUAAUUAUAGAAACAAUUAUUUGCACGAUCGAAUAAUAUCUUUGGAAUAGUCUUUAAAUAAUGAUCGCUUCCUAUAUUACACGCAGCAACGUUUGGUGAGAGCAAAAAUAUAAUUCCUUCAACAAGAACAGUUCAUACAGACAAACGAUACCGAAGAAAUUUCUCCUUUAUGAUUCGAUUGUUCGCAACAACAGACGGACCAAAUGUGUGUGCAUACCAAGAACACGAACGGCUGACAAUAGAAAAGAACAACUGGAUCUGCGCACGACAACGGUAAGCUAUUUUGACGGGUUUCGUGACAGACGAGCAUGAAAUAUGUAUUUGUUCGUUGUCGACGAAACCUGCCUGAAAUAGCCAACCAAGACACGAUUAAAAACAAACCAAGAGACCGAAUCUAAGAGCAGCCUAAGAUCACCAAACGAUGCCAACCAACGUUCAACUAUUAUCAUCUUUUGGAAUAAAAAGAAAAGAAUUAAAAAUUUAAAUUUAGAAGUAUUCAAAUUUUAGUUUGAUUUCUCACCACGUACAAAUGAAACGUUAAAAAUCAUUAUCAUUUUUUACGUGGUGAGCGCCAUAAUACAAACGGCAACCUGAGUCGUUUCACAGUUUCUCUCUUCGAUUGAAGAAUUAUUUCAUUUAUGUUCUUAUUACUAUUGAAGAAAAUCAUGAACAUCACAAUUUCCCAAUUUUCUUUUCCUUUGUAUCUAAGCAAAAUAAACCAAAACCUAACGCCAGUGUGUGUUAGUACAGCAUGAGGUAAGCCCCUUGCAAUUCGAGUCAGUCGCGCGUUUUUGAUUCUUUGUUUUUUUUAAAAAGCCAUUUUUUUGUUUUACACGGUGUGUGGUUUUUUGCAUGAGGGCCACAAGGGGAAUAUCAAGCAUGUGACAAAAUGUCUUGGUACUACGUUACUUCUGAGUUCAAUUUCAACCAUGAUUCACAUUACCUUUCAUCCCUUCAGGGUCAAUAAAAUAAGUACCAGUUGAGCACUGGGGUCGAUUUAAUUCACUUAUCUCCUCCCCUAAAACUGCUGGACUUGUGCCAAAAUUUGAAACCAUUAUUAUUAUUGUGAAGAAAGCGGUGAACAGGUGUUAGCGUGUCGAAAAAAUUCCUGUUGGCCUUUCUUCCAGUCCUUUAUAUUCUGGCCGCAAAUUCUACCGAAGUCGACUUUGCCUUUCAUCCUUCUGGGGUCCUUAAAACAGAGUACCAGUUUAGUUCUGGGGUAAAAUGAAUCGACUAACCUCUCCCACUAAAAUUCAUGAUUUUGUUCUAAAACUUGAAUCAAUUAUUAUUCUGAAAAACUGUACAUUGGCAGAAUCGUUAGUGCAUCGAAUAAAAUUCUUCCCAUUAUCAGAUUCUAUAAAAUACAGUUUCAAUCAAGUACUGGGUGGUUGUAAUCAAGUUAUACCUUAUCCACAAAGCCGUUGGCCGAAAUUACGAACAAUUUAGGGUGGUGGUUGGACAGAAUGGUCAGAGUGGCGGGAAAAUGCUCAGGCUUCGGUCAGCCUGAGGCUAUAGUAGAAAACACUUACCCAAGAUGCCACGUAAUGGAACUGAACCCGGAACCAUGUGGUUGGGAUGCAAGCUUCUUACCACACAGCCAGUCCUGCGCCUAUUAUAUAAAAAAACACAGAAAGCUAAGUUUAUAUACAUAACAUGCGAAAUCGCUCGGCCAGGAGGUCAAACUGUUGCGUUCACGAUCGUCAGAUUGUGGGUUCGAUUUCCGAACGGAGCAGUGCGUUGUGUUCUUGAGCAAAACACUUCAUUUCAUGUUGCCCCAGUCCACUCAGCUGUAAAUGGGCUCCCCUGCGACAGAAUAGCCUUCCGAUCAGGAGGUGGGGUUGUUGCCCUGCUUUCCUAGAGAGAGGGGUGGCAUUAUCCGAAAGCUACAGCAAUGCGAAGCGCAUUGUGACCGGCAAUGUAUAACAACAUCUGAUCGUCUGGUCGUCGAUUACGUGAUCACGUGAUAUGUGUAAUACAUUUGAGUGCCAGACUGAAUGCAUUGUAGAAUUUAAACAUGUUUUUUGAUGUGAUUUUAAAUCUAGCCAGCGUCCACUUCGCUUUUUCUACAUCCAGGGAGAGGGCUAAAAUAAAAACCAGUCUUCACUCAGUGGCCUGUCAGGAUAAAUUUGUUUAGCAUUUAUUUAAACAGUAUCAAGGCGAGUUUUAGCCCCAAGAAGUCUCAAUAGAACGGAUAUAAAAAAGGUGUUCCAACCGUGAUAAUAUUCUUAUUUUUAGAUAUUUUUAGUAUUGUGAUAUCUAUGUUCAUCGUUCUUUCUUAAAUUGUAGGCUAUGAUAUCAGGGGAUUUGGUUAGCGUUUCUAGCGGGUUGAGUGACUGCGUAUAGGCUCCGUCUUUGACUUGAAAUUAGUAUAAACGGUAGAACACCGCUCUAAAAGCUUUACAAAAUCCGUCCGUCCGUCUGUGUGUGUGUGUGUGUGUGUGUGUGUGUAUAGAUAGAUAGAUAGAUAAACAGAUAGAUGCAUACAUGUUUGACACAGUAAGUUUCCACUGUGUUCCGACAAGUGCUAUGUGAACACAGCUUCUAUUGCAAUAUUACAAUAUCAUAUAACUAUUGUGUUCAACUGUCUUUAUACAUGAUCUGAUAUUAGUUUAGGUCGUCCAUAACAUUCAUAGACAUUUGUUUAGUGGGAAAGACUUAUAAGCGACAUAAAUAAUUAAGUAAAAGCGGAAAACUCCAUACGCCGCCAUUUUCGGUUUCGACAUUUUUAUUCAUUGACUCGUUGUGCGUGUUAGAGAGAAUAUAUAUAUAACAUAUAU
rnacentral:lncRNA from 1 species